rnacentral:ncRNA from 1 species
UUUAUGGAGAGUUUGAUCCUGGCUCAGGACGAACGCUGGCGGCGUGCCUAACACAUGCAAGUCGAACGGUUUUCGAGGUUCGACAUUCGAGGUUCGAAGUUCGAGUAAAAGCAAAUCGAACUUCGAAUUUCGAACGUCGAACUUCGAGAAUAGUGGCGCACGGGUGAGUAACGCGUGGAUAACCUGCCUGGUAGACCGGGAUAACAGCUGGAAACGGCUGCUAAUACCGGAUACGCUCUGGCUGUCGCAUGACAGUGAGAGGAAAGAAAUAUCGCUAUCAGAUGGGUCCGCGUCCCAUUAGCUGGUUGGUGGUGUAAGAGACCACCAAGGCGACGAUGGGUAGCCGGCCUGAGAGGGCGACCGGCCACACUGGGACUGAGACACGGCCCAGACUCCUACGGGAGGCAGCAGUGGGGAAUCUUCCGCAAUGGGCGAAAGCCUGACGGAGCAACGCCGCGUGAGGGAAGAAGGCCUUCGGGUUGUAAACCUCUGUCUUCAAGGAAGAAUAGAUGACGGUACUUGGAGAGGAAGCCCCGGCUAACUACGUGCCAGCAGCCGCGGUAAAACGUAGGGGGCGAGCGUUGUCCGGAAUUACUGGGCGUAAAGGGCGCGUAGGUGGUUCAUUAAGUCAGAGGUGAAAGUUCGGGGCUCAACCCCGUGAUUGCCUCUGAUACUGGUGGACUUGAGUGCAGGAGAGGGGAGCGGAAUUCCCAGUGUAGCGGUGAAAUGCGUAGAUAUUGGGAGGAACACCAGUGGCGAAGGCGGCUCUCUGGACUGUAACUGACACUGAGGCGCGAAAGCGUGGGGAGCAAACAGGAUUAGAUACCCUGGUAGUCCACGCCGUAAACGAUGAGUGCUAGGUGUUGGUGGUAUCGACCCCACCAGUGCCGCAGUUAACACAAUAAGCACUCCGCCUGGGGAGUACGGUGGCAACACUGAAACUCAAAGGAAUUGACGGGGGCCCGCACAAGCGGUGGAGUAUGUGGUUUAAUUCGACGCAACGCGAAGAACCUUACCAGGGCUUGACAUCCUCUGAAAGCUAUAGAGAUAUAGUGAUUAUCCUUCGGGGUAACAGAGAGACAGGUGGUGCAUGGUUGUCCUUCACCUCUGGUCUUGAGAAUUUGGGGUUAAUUCCGGAACAGUUUUCAACCCCCCAAAAAAUAUAUUUUGCCCACCAGGGUAAAAUCCGGGGAACUUUUAAUGUGGAAUUGUCCGUUUGAAAAAAAACCGGAAAGAAAAGGGGGGGGGAAAAAAAAAUCAAAAAAACUUUCCUUGUCCCCCCCUUUUUUUUUUCUUGGGGGGCCUAACACAACACCUAUUCUCCAUAAAAAAAGGUUGGCCGCGCGGGGAAACAAAAAAAAAAGAAAAGAAAAGAACACAAAAAAAAACCCCC